rnacentral:rRNA from 1 species
AGGGGGCUAGCGUUGUUCGGAAUUACUGGGCGUAAAGCGCACGUAGGCGGCUUUGUAAGUUAGAGGGGAAAGCCCGGGGCUCAACUCCGGAAUUGCCUUUAAGACUGCAUCGCUAGAAUUGUGGAGAGGUAAGUGGAAUUCCGAGUGUAGAGGUGAAAUUCGUAGAUAUUCGGAAGAACACCAGUGGCGAAGGCGACUUACUGGACACAUAUUGACGCUGAGGUGCGAAAGCGUGGGGAGCAAUCAGG